CUCGCCUCGCGCGUUACAAUUCUCCCUACCUCUUUGUGAAACGCUCCGCACGCGCCGCUGCAGGUGCACGCGCGGGGUCAAGGGUCACAGCGGUGAUCCAGCCCCCCUCAUCCAGCCUACAACAAUAGUCGUUAUUUUCUUUCUUUCUUUGAUUCGAAUUGUAUUCUGAUUAACGAGUGGUACUGGUGGACCAUGCUGCCAUCAGCUAUUGAAUUAAGACUAAACUACCACCGUUGCCCAAAGAAAUUAAGCAAAAUUAGGUCUACCCAUCACUCGUACAAUAUCAUGUGCUUGACAUUAAUGCCCGGAGGAGGUAGGAGAACAGAGACGUUGCCCGCCGUCCCCAAAGCAGAGGCAGUUGAGAGGCGGCGUGUCCUUCGUCGCUCUUUGUUUGUGUGAGCAGAGAACACCUUGGACUUCUUCGCUUCGCUCAGAUUGCUAUGGGAAGUUUUGAAGUGUUUACUAGCAAACUCCAUGAAUUGAUGUCCUUCCAUGGAAAGCAGGUUUAUGUGGAGGAAAGGUGGCCAAAUCAGCAAAACAGUACUGCAAUGCAUUGAGGACAGGAAUGUGAUUCUCCAGUCAGGAAAAAUCUUUAAGGAAGAGAUGCAGGCUCUUAGUGAUGGAUGGGAGUCUCCCCUAUCUGAGGCAACACUGAUUGCUACGCAAAUGGAUGUUGCACCUCAAUUUAGCAAGGAACAAAGCAUUUUUGGAGACAUAUUUUGCACACUGCCUGUGACUGUCGCUGGUGGCGAGAGAGCUUUCAGUAAGCUAAAACCGAUUUUAAAACACUAUUUGAGGUCCACUAUGUCCCAGGACAGGCUUUGCCAUGUUGUCCAUUGAAAGUCAGUUAGCUAGAAAGCUGGACUUCAAAGACCUUAUCAGUGACUUUGCUAGCAAGAAGGCUCGGCGCUGGGCUCUUGGUGAGUAAGGCUGAGCAUGGGCCAGUGAUAACUGUUAAAUGGCAUGGCUAUGGAUAUUGGAUCACUACACACAUGAUGCCCACAGGCUGAGAACAAGACUGAGAACAGACUGGGAACAGACUGAGAACAGACUGAGAACAGACUGAGAACAGACUGAGAACACACUGAGAACAGACUGAGAACAGACUGAGAACAGACUGAGAACACACUGAGAACAGAAUGAGAACAAGACUGAGAACAAGACUGAGAACACACUGAGAACAGACUGGGAACAGACUGGGAACAAGACUGAGAACAGACUGGGAACAAGACUGAGAACAGACUGAGAACAAGACUGAGAACAGACUGAGAACAAGACUGAGAACACACUGAGAACAAGACUGAGAACACACUGAGAACAGACUGGGAACAGACUGGGAACAAGACUGAGAACACACUGAGAACAGACUGGGAACAGACUGGGAACAAGACUGAGAACAGACUGAGAACAUACUGAGAACAGACUGGGAACACACUGAGAACAAGACUGAGAACAGACUGAGAACAAGACUGAGAACAGACUGAGAACAGACUGAGAACAGACUGAGAACACACUGAGAACAGACUGAUAACACACUGAGAACACACUGAGAACAGACUGAGAACAGACUGAGAACAGACUGGGAACAGACUGGGAACACGACUGAGAACACACUGAGAACAAGACUGAGAACAGACUGAGAACACACUGAGAACAAGACUGAGAACACACUGAGAACACACUGAGAACACACUGAGAACAGACUGAGAAUAGACUGAGAACAGACUGAGAACACACUGAGAACAGACUGGGAACACACUGAGAAGAAGACUGGGAACAGACUGAGAACAGACUGAGAAUAGACUGAGAACAGACUGAGAACACACUGAGAACAGACUGGGAACACACUGAGAAGAAGACUGGGAACACACUGAGAACAGACUGAGAACACACUGAGAACAGACUGGGAACAGACUGAGAACACACUGAGAACAGACUGAGAACACACUGAGAACAGACUGAGAACAGACUGAGAACAGACUGAGAACACACUGAGAACAGACUGAGAACAGACUGAGAACAGACUGAGAACAGACUGAGAACACACUGAGAACAGACUGAGAACAGACUGGGAACAGACUGAGAACAGACUGGGAACACACUGAGAACAGACUGAGAACACACUGGGAACACACUGAGAACAGACUGAGAACAGACUGGGAACAGACUGAGAACACACUGAGAACAGACUGAGAACACACUGAGAACAGACUGAGAACAGACUGGGAACAGACUGGGAACACACUGAGAACAGACUGAGAACAGACUGAGAACAGACUGAGAACAGACUGGGAACACACUGAGAACAGACUGAGAACACACUGGGAACACACUGAGAACAGACUGAGAACAGACUGAGAACACACUGAGAACACACUGAGAACAGACUGAGAACACACUGAGAACAGACUGAGAACAGACUGGGAACAGACUGAGAACACACUGAGAACAGACUGAGAACAGACUGGGAACAGACUGAGAACAGACUGGGAACAGACUGAGAACAGACUGAGAACAGACUGGGAACACACUGAGAACAGACUGAGAACAGACUGGGAACAGAUUGAGAACAGGCUGAGAACAGACUGAGAACAGACUGAGAACAGACUGGGAACAGACUGAGAACAGACUGGGAACAGACUGAGAACACACUGAGAACAGACUGAGAACAGACUGAGAACAGACUGAGAACAGACUGGGAACAGACUGAGAACAGGCUGAGAACAGACUGAGAAAAGACUGGGAACACACUGAGAACAGACUGGGAACAGACUGAGAACAGAAUGAGAACACACUGACAACAGACUGAGAACAGACUGAGAACAGACUGAGAACACACUGAGAACAGACUGAGAACAGACUGAGAACAGACUGAGAACACACUGAGAACAGACUGAGAACAGACUGAGAACAGACUGGGAACAGACUGAGAACAGACUGGGAACAGACUGAGAACAGACUGGGAACAGACGGAGAACACACUGAGAAGAAGACUGAGAACAGACUGAGAACACACUGAGAACACACUGAGAACACACUGAGAACAGACUGAGAACAGACUGGGAACAGACUGGGAACACACUGAGAACAGACUGGGAACAGACUGAGAACAGGCUGAGAACAGACUGAGAACAGGUUGGGAACAGACUGGGAACAGACUGAGAACACACUGAGAACACACUGAGAACAGACUGAGAACAGACUGAGAACACACUGAGAACAGACUGAGAACAGACUGAGAACAGACUGGGAACAGACUGAGAACAGACUGGGAACAGACUGAGAACAGACUGGGAACAGACGGAGAACACACUGAGAAGAAGACUGAGAACAGACUGAGAACACACUGAGAACACACUGAGAACACACUGAGAACAGACUGAGAACAGACUGGGAACAGACUGGGAACAGACUGGGAACAGACUGAGAACAGGCUGAGAACAGACUGAGAACAGGUUGGGAACAGACUGGGAACAGACUGAGAACACACUGAGAACAGACUGAGAACAGACUGAGAACAGACUGAGAACAGACUGAGAACAGACUGGGAACACACUGAGAACAAGAUGUAUCUCAAAGUAAUGGCUGGAUUGACCAUAACAUUUGUUUUGCACAAUCAAGACCCCAAGUGGAAGAAACCUAUUGAUUUGGUGACCUCUUGACCUUUCCUCUAGCGCCACCAUCAGGCCUUUUCAUGUCCAUUUCCACUUUUCCAGCUGCUUAUUUCCUAGUUGGUAUUUAUACUUAGUUCAACAAUCUGCUGCUGAUUUUAUUAUUUUGUUUGUUAUAUCAUUUUAUAGGUGAUGAUGUUCAUUUAUUUUAAUUGAAGAGGUAUGUUUAAGUUAUAUUUAUUUUAAGUUAUUCAUUAAUGUUAAGAGAAUUUUCCAUUCAAGAAUUUGAC
rnacentral:lncRNA from 1 species